UACGUAGGGUGCGAGCGUUGUCCGGAAUUAUUGGGCGUAAAGAGCUCGUAGGCGGUCUGUCGCGUCGGCUGUGAAAAACCCGAGGCUCAACCUCGGGCCUGCAGUCGAUACGGGCAAACUAGAGUACUGCAGGGGAGACUGGAAUUCCUGGUGUAGCGGUGAAAUGCGCAGAUAUCAGGAGGAACACCGGUGGCGAAGGCGGCUCACUGGACUUGGUAUUGACGCUGGAGGUGCGGAAAAGCCGUGGGGGAGCAAACAGG
rnacentral:rRNA from 1 species